rfam:Jiangella alkaliphila strain DSM 45079 genome assembly, chromosome: I
UGAAAGUGCCUUCCGGGCAGCGGCGAUCAGGACCUCGACAAUCCAGAUCCUCCCUGCACAGAAGGCACUUUCUCUGUCACCACACCGAGCGAUCAGCUACCGGUCCACGGAUCGAG